UAUUUUGGCCAGGAGCUGAAGUUGGUUGUUUAGUAGUAGUAGUUUGAGUAGUGACCGAAGUAGUAGUCUGGUGUGUGGGUGCAAGAGUAGUUGGGGAAGAAUUAGGUGUGGUAAUUGGGGCAGCUGUGGUCUCUUGUGGAGCUGGGGAAGACGGUGGAGCUGGUGUAGUUGCAGAAGGUGUGGGUGGGACAGCUGUGGUCUCUGGUGGAGCUGAGGAAGAUAGUGGAGCUGGUGUAGUUGCAGAAGGUGUGGGUGGGGCAGCUGUGGUCUCUGGUGGAGCUGAGGAAGAUGGUGGAGCUGGUGUAGUUGCAGGAGGUGUGGGUGGGGCAGCUGUGGUGUCUUGUGGAGCUGGGGAAUUCACUGGUGCUAAUGUAGCUACAGAAGAGCUUGUGUUAACAUUUUCUCUUGAAGAUAUGGUGGUGGCAUUCUGGGGAAGAAAAGUCACAUUUGGAAGGGUAGUAAUUUUGAUGGAAUUUGGGUUGUAGCCACUAAGGUAGGGUUGACCACACUGCUAUUUUUAUCUGGAUGUUUAGGUGGCUGGUGAGGAUUUGGGAAUUUGGGGGGGUUAUUAGGUGAAGGUGGAAGCUUAGGCCUACAGCGUUUGUGCAG
rnacentral:lncRNA from 1 species